GAUGAACGCUGGCGGCGUGCCUAAUACAUGCAAGUCGAGCGAACGGACGAGAAGCUUGCUUUUCUGAUGUUAGCGGCGGACGGGUGAGUAACACGUGGAUAACCUACCUAUAAGACUGGGAUAACUUCGGGAAACCGGGGCUAAUACCGGAUAAUAUUUUGAACCGCAUGGUUCAUAAGUGAAAGACGGUCUUGCUGUCACUUAUAGAUGGAUCCGCGCUGCAUUAGCUAGUUGGUAAGGUAACGGCUUACCAAGGCAACGAUGCAUAGCCGACCUGAGAGGGUGAUCGGCCACACUGGAACUGAGACACGGUCCAGACUCCUACGGGAGGCAGCAGUAGGGAAUCUUCCGCAAUGGGCGAAAGCCUGACGGAGCAACGCCGCGUGAGUGAUGAAGGUCUUCGGAUCGUAAAACUCUGUUAUUAGGGAAGAACAUAUGUGUAAGUAACUGUGCACAUCUUGACGGUACCUAAUCAGAAAGCCACGGCUAACUACGUG
rnacentral:rRNA from 1 species